rnacentral:rRNA from 1 species
GACGAACGCUGGCGGCGUGCCUAAUACAUGCAAGUAGAACGCACAGUUUAUACCGUAGCUUGCUACACCAUAAACUGUGAGUUGCGAACGGGUGAGUAACGCGUAGGUAACCUGCCUGGUAGCGGGGGAUAACUAUUGGAAACGAUAGCUAAUACCGCAUAAUAUUGAUUAUUGCAUGAUAAUUGAUUGAAAGAUGCUAUUGCAUCACUACCAGAUGGACCUGCGUUGUAUUAGCUAGUAGGUGAGGUAACGGCUCACCUAGGCGACGAUACAUAGCCGACCUGAGAGGGUGAGCGGCCACACUGGGACUGAGACACGGCCCAGACUCCUACGGGAGGCAGCAGUAGGGAAUCUUCGGCAAUGGACGAAAGUCUGACCGAGCAACGCCGCGUGAGUGAAGAAGGUUUUCGGAUCGUAAAGCUCUGUUGUAAGAGAAGAACGGGUGUGAGAGUGGAAAGUUCACACUGUGACGGUAUCUUACCAGAAAGGGACGGCUAACUACGUG